rnacentral:piRNA from 1 species
CUUCUGAGACUGACAGUGACAAC